UACGUAGGGAGCAAGCGUUGUCCGGAUUUAUUGGGCGUAAAGAGCUCGUAGGCGGUGUGUCGCGUCGGCCGUGAAAACCUGCAGCUUAACUGUGGGCGUGCGGUCGAUACGGGCAUCACUGGAGUUCGGCAGGGGAGACUGGAAUUCCUGGUGUAGCGGUGAAAUGCGCAGAUAUCAGGAGGAACACCGGUGGCGAAGGCGGGUCUCUGGGCCGAUACUGACGCUGAGGAGCGAAAGCGUGGGGAGCGAACAGG
rnacentral:rRNA from 1 species